GCACCCAAGAGCAGCAGAGAAGGGUUAGAAGGAUGUUGUGGAAAAGGGACCGUGACAGGAUGAAAAUUUUCAUAAUGAAAAAUGAAAACAAACCCCCAAGGCCCAGGUAAUCCUCAGUUUCCUCAUCUGAAGAGGAC
rnacentral:lncRNA from 1 species